rnacentral:rRNA from 1 species
UACGUAGGGUGCAAGCGUUGUCCGGAAUUAUUGGGCGUAAAGAGCGUGUAGGCGGCCCGAUUAGUCCGCUGUGAAAGCCCAGGGCUUAACCCUGGAAUUGCCUUUAAGACUGCAUCGCUAGAAUCGUGGAGAGGUGAGUGGAAUUCCGAGUGUAGAGGUGAAAUUCGUAGAUAUUCGGAAGAACACCAGUGGCGAAGGCGACUCACUGGACACGUAUUGACGCUGAGGUGCGAAAGCGUGGGGAGCAAACAGG